CACGUAGGGCGCAAGCGUUGUCCGGAAUUAUUGGGCGUAAAGAGCUCGUAGGCGGUCUGUUGCGUCCGCUGUGAAAACUCGGGGCUUAACCCCGAGCCUGCAGUGGAUACGGGCAGACUAGAGGUAGGUAGGGGAGAAUGGAAUUCCCGGUGUAGCGGUGAAAUGCGCAGAUAUCAGGAGGAACACCGAUGGCGAAGGCAGCUCGCUGGGACGGUACUGACGCUGAGGAGCGAAAGCGUGGGGAGCGAACAGG
rnacentral:rRNA from 1 species